AAUAAGUGCAGUUUUGCAUUAUUUAUCUUCAACGUUUAACCAUUCGUCUUAUUUGAAAAUUUUUUAUGAUUACUAUUUUUAUUGUUAUUAGAUGAUAAAAUAUGAAUAAUAUUUUAUGUGUGACUAAUUUUUUUAAAAAUUUUCAAAUAAGACGGAUGGUUAAACGUUGGACAUGGAUUUUCACAGCUGCACUUAUU
rfam:Oryza glaberrima chromosome 2 Oglab02_unplaced107_1, whole genome shotgun sequence.